CCUACGGGAGGCAGCAGUGAGGAAUAUUGGUCAAUGGACGCAAGUCUGAACCAGCCAUGCCGCGUGCAGGAAGACGGCUCUAUGAGUUGUAAACUGCUUUUGUACGAGGGUAAACGCAGAUACGCGUAUCUGUCUGAAAGUAUCGUACGAAUAAGGAUCGGCUAACUCCGUGCCAGCAGCCGCGGUAAUACGGAGGAUUCAAGCGUUAUCCGGAUUUAUUGGGUUUAAAGGGUGCGUAGGCGGUCGGAUAAGUUAGAGGUGAAAUCCCGAGGCUCAACUUCGGAAUUGCCUCUGAUACUGUUCGGCGAGAGAGUAGUUGAGGUAGGCGGAAUGUAUGGUGUAGCGGUGAAAUGCUUAGAGAUCAUACAGAACACCGAUUGCGAAGGCAGCUUACCAAGCUACUUCUGACGUUGAGGCACGAAAGCGUGGGGAGCAAACAGGAUUAGAUACCCGAGUAGUC
rnacentral:rRNA from 1 species